rnacentral:rRNA from 1 species
UACGUAGGGGGCUAGCGUUGUCCGGAAUCAUUGGGCGUAAAGCGCGUGUAGGCGGUCCGGUAAGUCCGCUGUGAAAGUCGGGGGCUCAACCCCGGGAGGCGGGUGGAUACUGUCAAGCUCGAGUCCGGAAGAGGAGUGUGGAAUUCCUGGUGUAGCGGUGAAAUGCGCAGAUAUCAGGAGGAACACCAAUGGCGAAGGCAGCACUCUGGGACGUGACUGACGCUGAGACGCGAAAGCGUGGGGAGCAAACAGG